GUUUGCAUGUGCAGUGAACUCAAUGACAGUCCUCCUAUCUGCUUUCAUCAGGGGUUUUACCUGAGUAUCCCACUGGACAGGGGGCCAAGGAACAAAAACCGGGUUACAUGGGUGGAGCAGGAAACUAUCUGGGAGCAAGCCUGGGUGCUGGAGGCUAUGGACCAGGUUUGGGUCAGGGAGCAUAUCUGGGUGGUGCAGCAGGCAAACUAGGAGGCUAUGGGGAGGGAACAACAGGAUACCUUGGCGCUGUGGCAGGCAACGGCUUUGGUGGAGAUGGUGCUAAAGCUUUGUCUACAGGUUAUGGCAACGGUUACCCUGACGGUUAUGGAGCUGCUCUCAGUACAGGAGGCUACGCUGGGCCGGUCCAGGGGGCGUAUGGAGCGCUCGGUGCAGGCCUGGAUGCAACUGGUGGCAAAUAUGGAGGAGGAGCUGCUCAGGUUCCUUAUGGUAAUGCUCCAGUGAUUCCUGCCGGACUGGAAGGUGAUGGUGGCUACCCCUACGGCGCUCAGCAGCUCAGCCUCGGUGCUGAAGGCGCCAAAACCGCCAACAAAUAUGGUGCUGGUGCAGGUUAUGGAGCUCAGCAAACAGGUUAUGGUGCUCAGCUAGGAGCCACUCAGGAUGCCUUGGGAGAGCAAACCGGCAAAUAUGGCGGAGUGAACGGUGCCCUUGGUAACGGCUACAAAGGCUAAUUCAAAUGACCUGGACCUCUCCACGUGGAUCAUUUCCAUAAUGUGUUCAGUGUAAUGAGCUUCUAAAGCUUUUAUUUUACGUUUUACUCAACUUUGUCCUGUUGCGUUGUCCAUUUGUCCUUUUGUUUUUCUUCACCCCCUCGUCUUUCUCUGUAAGUGGACAUCUGUUAGUCAUGUCUGUUUGUCUUCCUUGUCCAAGAACCUGCUGUACCCCACCAGUUCAGCUCUGUCAGUGCUGAAGACAUUGGUGGUGAUUGAUGAACAUAAAUAGAUGGAAAGUGCAAG
ensembl:lncRNA